rnacentral:tRNA from 1 species
AACUAUUUUGGCAGAAAAUUUUAAGUGCAAUAGAUUUAGAAUCUUUAUAUAUGAUUUAUAAUCAUAAGUAGU